UUAGAUCUAUGGAGUCAAGAACCUAGCCUU
rnacentral:piRNA from 1 species